GAAACGUUCAUUGCUGAGACCACUUUGUUUCUGAAGAGACCAUGUGUGUCCGGAGCUGGUUCCUGCUGGUGGGUUCAUGGUCUCACUGACUUCAAAGAAUGAAGCCGCAGACCUUCAUGGCAUCCUGCAAAUACAAACUGCCAACAGGAUCUCUUCAACAUCCACAAAACCCAGUGCACUGAUGGAGGCAAGGAAGUUAGCACAAAGAAAAUUGGAAAUACAUGUUCCUAUGUGAUUGUGAGCUCUACCUCCUUGGCGGUCAGGACACCACGUAGCAAUGGCAAGACUUGGGCAUCUGCCUCUGUUGAAGAUGGAGGUAGAACUGCAGCUUUUAAAAAAAUAAUCAGCUGUGAAAAACUGGGAAAAAUAGAGCUUUUGAAAUGCCACUCUGCCUUGCAUAAUUCUGGAAUAAACAAAACAAAACGUUUCCAGAACAGUGUUUUGGCAUGUGUCCUUAAUAACCUUGUUUAUGAAAAGUACCUGAGAUAUAGCCCAGCACCUGGAGUAAAUGAAAGAGUAAAUAAAUGUCUCCUGGAGCUAUUUUAUGUGAUACCACUGGCCAAGUCUAUAUCCUAGUAUCACAACACUGCUUCUACGAGAAAAUGUAAUUCUACUUCUAUCGAUUCAAAUACAGCCCCUUUCUUGAUGCAUGUGUGUAAGACAAUAUCCUCUGGCCCAAGACGUCCUUUUUGAGACAGA
rnacentral:lncRNA from 10 species